AACGAACGCUGGCGGCAGGCCUAACACAUGCAAGUCGAGCGCGCCCUUCGGGGUGAGCGGCGAACGGGUGAGUAACGCGUGGGAAUAUGCCCAAAGGUAGGGAAUAGCCUCUGGAAACGGAGAGUAAUACCCUAUGUGCCCUUCGGGGGAAAGAUUUAUCGCCUUUGGAUUAGCCCGCGUUGGAUUAGGUAGUUGGUGAGGUAAAAGCUCACCAAGCCGACGAUCCAUAGCUGGUUUGAGAGGAUGAUCAGCCACACUGGGACUGAGACACGGCCCAGACUCCUACGGGAGGCAGCAGUGGGGAAUCUUAGACAAUGGGGGAAACCCUGAUCUAGCCAUGCCGCGUGAGUGACGAAGGCCCUAGGGUCGUAAAGCUCUUUCGCCAGGGAUGAUAAUGACAGUACCUGGUAAAGAAGUCCCGGCUAACUCCGUGCCAGCCGCCGCGGUAAU
rnacentral:rRNA from 1 species